GGCUUAGUGGUGUAACAGUAACAUACCUACUUGAAAUGUUUGGUUUGGCUUAUGAAGCUUUCAGUAGGAGAACCUUGUUCGACUCGAGGCUAGGCCA